GCUGGAAGUACAGGCAUGAGCCACUGCACCCAGCUGUUAGUGAAUUCUUAUUCAUUAUAAUGCUGCAUAUUUUUUUGACCUCAUACAUCAGAAGGUAUCUCUUCCAAAUGCACAAUGAAGGAGUUCUCAUCAACAGCACAAGGCAAUAGAGAAGUGAUCCACACAGGGACAUUGCAAAGACAUGAAAGUCAUCACAUUGGAGAUUUUUCCUUCCAGGAAAUUGAGAAAGAUAUUCAUAACUUUGAGUUUCAGUGGCAAGAAGAUGAAAGAAAUGGCCAUGAAGCACCCAUGACAAAAAUCAAAAAAUUGAUGGGUAGUACAGAGCAAUAUGAUCAAAGGCAUGCUGGAAACAAUCCUAUUAAAGAUCAGCUUGGAUCAAGCUUUCAUUCACAUCUGUCUGAACUCCACAUAUUUCAGCCCAA
rnacentral:sRNA from 1 species